UCGGGUUGUAAAGCACUUUUGUCCGGAAAGAAAACUUCGGCCCUAAUACGGCGGGAGGAUGACGGUACCGGAAGAAUAAGCACCGGCAACUACGUGCCAGCAGCCGCGGUAAUACGUAGGGUGCGAGCGUUAAUCGGAAUUACUGGGCGUAAAGCGUGCGCAGGCGGUUCGUUAAGACAGAUGUGAAAUCCCCGGGCUUAACCUGGGAACUGCAUUUGUGACUGGCGAGCUAGAGUAUGGCAGAGGGGGGUAGAAUUCCACGUGUAGCAGUGAAAUGCGUAGAGAUGUGGAGGAAUACCGAUGGCGAAGGCAGCCCCCUGGGCCAAUACUGACGCUCAUGCACGAAAGCGUGGGGAGCAAACAGGAUUAGAUACCCUGGUAGUCCACGCCCUAAACGAUGUCAACUAGUUGUUGGGGAUUCAUUUCCUUAGUAACGUAGCUAACGCGUGAAGUUGACCGCCUGGGGAGUACGGUCGCAAGAUUAAAACUCAAAGGAAUUGACGGGGACCCGCACAAGCGGUGGAUGAUGUGGAUUAAUUCGAUGCAACGCGAAAAACCUUACCUACCCUUGACAUGGUCGGAACCCUGCUG
rnacentral:rRNA from 1 species